GAUGAACGCUGGCGGCGUGCCUAAUACAUGCAAGUCGAGCGAAUGGAUUAAGAGCUUGCUCUUAUGAAGUUAGCGGCGGACGGGUGAGUAACACGUGGAUAACCUGCCCAUAAGACUGGGAUAACUCCGGGAAACCGGGGCUAAUACCGGAUAACAUUUUGAAACGCAGGGUUCGAAAUUGAAAGGCGGCUUCGGCUGGCACUUAUGGAUGGACCCGCAGCGCAUUAGCUAGUGGGUGAGGUAACGGCUCACCAAGGCAACGAUGCGUAGCCGACCUGAGAGGGUGAUCGGCCACACUGGGACUGAGACACGGCCCAGACUCCUACGGGAGGCAGCAGUAGGGAAUCUUCCGCAAUGGACGAAAGUCUGACGGAGCAACGCCGCGUGAGUGAUGAAGGCUUUCGGGUCGUAAAACUCUGUUGUUAGGGAAGAACAAGUGCUAGUUGAAUAAGCUGGCACCUUGACGGUACCUAACCAGAAAGCCACGGCUAACUACGUGCCAGCCGCCGCCGUAA
rnacentral:rRNA from 1 species